CUUCCCUAUACCAUACAAAAAAUAAAACUCACAAAACAGCACACAGUGUCAGUGCCAUCCAGACUGCAGUCAGAGAAAAGGUCUUGUGGGGUCUAAAUGAUCCGACUCUUCAGACUAAUCGAGGUAUGAGAUAAUAUCAGCUGGACUCUUUCCUACUUCACCUGUGCUGACAUGACUACACUGACAUGAAGUUACCUAAUAGACUGAAACAACAGUGAAUUUUGUCAUACAGUAACGUUCUAAGCUAAUAAAUUAUGCACCUGAUUAAAACAAUCAAACAACUUUCGCCACAAAAUAAUGAAGACAGAAUGUUUUCAAAGUCAAUGUUUUGUCAUGGCCAUCAAGAUCAAGAUCUCUGUCCUGCGGAGAAUUUGGAGGUAAACCUGAAAGAGCGUGAGAAUUGUUGCACCAUUAAUCAUAUAAUUUGACAUUUAUAAAAUAAAUCUGCUCAAUUAAAAUGCGAAAAUUUCAAAAGAUAAAAAAUAAAUAAAAACUUUUGGCUAAAGGUACUAUAUAUAUAUAGUACACAAUUUGUACAUUUAAUUUGAUUUAAUUGUGUUGAAUUAUAUGGAAAAACUUGCACACCAUUGAACUCUGAUCUGCCUGAUGUGAUUACAUAGAAAAACAUAAUCACUUCUCUUGAAAUACAAAGCAUUCUUUGUGGAGCUUCAGUAAUUAAGUUUUUAACAUCCGACACCCCGGAUUGUUCGCUUGAUUUUCUCUCAAGCUGUGCAGUCUGAAUGAGGAAAACAGAACGUCUGAGUCAAUCUCCGAGAGUAUUCGGCGACAUUAAAUGGUUUUGACUACGUGAAAUGACCUGAGAGGAGCUAAAAACAUUUUUUGAAAAAGCACAUCUGAGCUGCCUGUCAAACACAGAGCGCCGGAGAUUCAAGAAGUUUUCGUUUAGCCUCCUUGAACAUGUGUCCAGCUUUCCAGCUUCUUCACCCCCCUCUAAGAAGAGCCCAUGCUCCAUCUUGUGAAAACGUACACACACACACACACACCCACACAAAGACUCACUUCCAUGGACACACAGUCAGUGGGAACAAUAGACGUAGAGACACCUGCUGGUCUAACACACCCCGUCCUCCUCCCUCCAUCCUUUCUAUUAAGAUUCUCUGUGGGUAGUUUAGCCAGGCAUGUCGUGGUGAGAGCCAGUGAAUGAUAAUGAACUGGGCAAAGUGGAGAGUUUUUGUGUGUGAAUGGACUGAGAAGAGGAGGAGGCUUGUUGAAUCAGUCCUUCCAUCCCCAGCAUUCCAUCCAUCCAUCCGGUCCUCCUCCGUUACCUCACCGCUUCUUCCUCCUCCUCCUUUUCCUCCUCCUUGUCGGUGGUGUGUCGGCUGGAGGGACGGCCCCCGUGCUCUGACACAACUCACACACGCAGACACACACCUCCGCGAUGUGUCACUACCCAUUCCACCUGCCUCUUCCCGUCAUUCCCCGCUCGCCGCUCCGACUGCCCACACUUGCUGCACUUCCCUCCCUCAGUUUUUAACCCUUAUACAUUCAUUUCAUUUAUUCUGUCCCGAGUCCUUCCUUUCACUCCCCCGUGCCCUCCAUCACCCCCAUCAUCAUCACCACCACCACGACCACACACUCUACACACGCCAUGUGUCACCACCACGGAGAAGAAAGAAACAUGCUCCAGUCGACAAGUGUAAGAGACGAAGAGGAAGAAGACAGAAAAGUGUGGAGCGCGUGUGGAGCCCGGCGACACCACCGUCCGCCUCCAGCCGGAGCCUCCUUUGAUGGAAUAUCCCGGACAGCGGCGCGCGGAAAGAGGGAGCAGAAGGAGAGGAGAGGAGAGGAGAGGAGAGGAGAAGAUUAACGGGCUGAGAAAACGGGACAGGCAGCGAUCGCCUCGAGAGGCUCCAUCGAGUCCAGCUUCACACACAAACUCGCACCCUGCACACACACACACACACACACACUUUGUUGUGGAGCGUGCACAUGUGUGGGCACUCACCACAAGUGCAUGUGAGAGUGUGAGGAUUCAGCCAGUUGGACCGACGCAGCGGCGGCUCGGAGGUCCUUGUGGAUGCGGUGCGUCAGGUAGACCAUGCCCUUCACUUGUGCCUGCUUCUGUGGUCUGAAUGGCUUCUGUCGCAGACGAAAGAAGAAAAAACGGGACCAAGAAUCAGAAGAGGAGAUUGAUGAGGGCGGGCAUCACCGGGAUGAGGAAACGGUGGUGUGACGGCAGAGCUGUUGGCUGAACUCUCUCCAACUUUAAAACACUGUAACAUAAGACCAAGGUUACAGGUUCUCUCCAAAUCAGGUGUCUGGGAAUGUUCCCAUAGCGGAAGUGAAGGGGUUUCAGGUUUCAAAUACAUAUUUUUAUUCAGGUGUUUCAUGGAAAAGAUUUCGUGUUCUACUUCUCUUUCUACUCUUACAAACCAAAAGGCCAUCCAAAUUUGUUCUCAUGAUAAGACUGAUGAAAAUGAAAGCCUCUGAACUCUCUGCUCAUCCUCCAUUCCCCAAACCUGCUAUACUCUAAUUUUCCCUGGGCAGCUGACUGAGAACUUUGCUUUUGCUGAUAAUAUUCAAAAGAUAAAAAAAGGUCUGAUUCAUUUCUUGCCAGUGUGCAAAGAGACAAAGGUCUCUUAAAAUCCAUUAUUCUGUUCAGGCAUACCUCUCCUCGACACUCCGUCUUUCCCUUCUCUACCUUAAUUGCUCUUCCUCUGCGGAGGCUAUAUUGGAACCGAAGCUCCGUGGAGCUCUGCACCUUCUCACCUGCUUACUUACGUCGGAUCAACUUACCGAAAACUUCAGCCAAGUAAGAAAGUGUAGAGCAAUUUCCAGAGUCGCCCGCUGAGGGGCUCCGAGCCCAUCUCGGAUUUUCACGCUGAGCUGACCCCGAUCUAAAGCCAAAGCAGCUGUCCAAUCAGUGGCUUAGCUGGAGUGUGAAGAAGGGAGUCAAGGGUCAGAAUGAGAAACGGGGGCCUGGGGAACAUCACUCCCCUGGUGCUGCUGCUUCUCUAAUAUCCGGACGAGUAAUUACUGAGAGGAACACCCACAAAUGCUGAUGCUUCAAUUAAUGUCUGUCCCCGUGGGAGUCGAGUCUCUCCCCGCAAAUGCCACCACAAUGCACUUCCAGCUGUCACCUGUUAGAGGGCAGGGCAAUGCAAGCAUGCUAGGGUGCUCAUGUUUCUUCUUGGCUGCCACGAUGGUGCUUUCAAAGUAAAAACAAGUGGUUGACAUAUCUUCCGCCGCCAUGCAGCAGGCUUUCCCGCGCGCAUCCGGACGCCCAAAGACAAAAGGCCAGCGCACUGGUCUCAUUAGCAUGCGUGAUUAUGCAUUGCACGUCCAGUCAGGCGGUGGAGAUGUAAUUAACCUUUUCCAGCAGGAAACAGAUGCCUGGAUGUCACACACACACACACGCACACACCCACACGCGCACACACACACGUCUGCUGUCAGGGAAACAAAGCCGACGUCACGGUGUCACGGAAACAAAGCCCCGAAUGCACCGCCUGGCACUUUCUGAUAAUCCCCUCACGCAUAUUUACAUUCAUGGCUUAGAAUACGCGUCGGUGACACCGCCUCCACCGCCUCCACCGCCUCCACCCUCUUACCCGCUUCGCCCCUUUCCUCUGUUGGCAGCCACCGACCCCAGUCACACCUUUACCGUUCUUUUUGCCUCCACCGGCCGCUAGUAGUCACAUCCCUGCUAUCUUCCUCAUUUUCAUCAUCUCUCCUUAAACUUUCUCCUUGGUCGAAUUCAUCCGUUUAUCAUCAGUGGAUGGUACAUGGCCCUGCAUGGCAGCUCCCAUAGAUUAGCCCCCACUCUUGCUUUCCCACUUCUUCAGGCGGGUAAGAAAGUGAAGAAAGAAGCUGCUUUACGACAGAUUAAUGGACGGCCCUGAUUGCGCCUGUUGGUGUGGCUCUGCGCCUGAGCUGAAUCGACUGUUUACUCGUUCUCCCGCCGCUAUGAGCGGCGAAAUGAAACAAAGCGAAAGCCAUUUCACAGUGUAGAGCACCUAUUAUGAUUCAGUGUGUUACGGCGCGGCCCUAAUGAGAAAGAGAGAAAACGAGAGGAGGAGCAGAAGGAGAGGAAGAGAUGGUAAUGAAAGCGAGUUGGGAGGGGGGGGUUUACGCUAGACAGAGCAGUCAUGCUAAUUGGCUACAGUGGAUAACUUUCUUCGGCGAAAACGAAGGUGUGUGGUUAAAAGAACGGCCUUAUCUGUCUGCAUUGCUCUCAUUUAACGCUCCCUCCAUUUCACCUCUUUUAAUGAGAGGAAUAUUCACCGCGGUAAUGGCAGAGAACUCGGAGUUGAUGGCAAUUUGUUGCUCACGCACACCACGCUCCGAGACGGGGCUGAGGCAAGGCGCUCUCCUUGCCCCAGCCUCCUGCUAUGGAUCAUGACAAUUUUCAGGGAUUGUAACUCAAGGACAAACAGCUAAAAAUAGAAGGGUGGUGCACGACUCCUGCGGUAGCAGUGAAGGGAGGAGGUGAGUACAAGAAGGGUUGGGGGAGGGGGACCGCAAAAGCGACUCCUGUCGCAUUAGAUUUGGGUCAGAGGCGAGGGAAAAGCCGGCGAAGCGGAGAGCGUUCCAGACGGCUGGGAGAUCCACCGCCCGCCGCUCCGUGCUCCUCUCCUCUUUUAACACCUCGCCUUUAUCCUGCACACACCUGCACAGACAGCGGCGGAGGGCUCUGUACCCAAUGGCUUCAGUAAUCUGUGGAAAUGCUCAAGAAUUUGUUGGAACCCUGUUAAGUAAAACCUAGUCCCCCAUGUGGUUGGGGACUGUAUGGCAAAAAGGAUCGUUUUGUGGUUUUGCCCACAGGUUCUUUAAGAUCUUGGUGGUUUUUACCCACUGGUGUGAGACACAGGACAGGUCUGAGUGCUAAUUAGGCUCCAUCUCCAUAAAAUGAGUUUCCUGCCCAUGUGGUUUUGCAACACAUUCUCACACCCGACUCGUCAUAUAUUGACGAGUUGGGACGCCGUCUGACCAUGCGUCACAUAUUGACGCGAAGGGGCUACCCUUCGCGUCAAUAUGUGACGACUUGGCCAGGUUCCUUCACCGUAAAAUGUUGACGAAUUUGACGAUUUCGGAAGGUCGCAUGUUUUACAUGGAUUAUUCAUGCGAAGGGUCCUCGCAAACACUGCCGAAACUUCAAAACCCUCAAAUUGGUUAGGUUUAGGGAAAAAAUUACGGUAAGGCAUAAGGUAAAACCCCUCGCGUCACAUAUUUACGCUGAAGAAUUUUGGCCAAAAAUGUGACGCGGAAGGACGUCCCACGCGUCAAUAUAUGACGAGUUGGGAGUGAGAACGGGUUGGGUUUCAAUGUGUAACUCUGGACAGAUAGUUGGUCUCACCUAGAAAUAAGAUGCAUACAAUUUUUAACAUACAGGUUGAAAAAGUUCAACUAAAUUGUGUAUCUUUCACUUUAAUAACUUGCUUUUCAUCUUCUAUGUCUCACAAAAUGAGAUGCAGAAGUAAAUACCAAAAUCUGUUAAUGAUAGUGCCUUAGCUGAUAGGAAUCAGAUUUCUUAAAUGGAUAAUUCAGGACCAGUAACAGUGAACAAACACCAUUCCUUUACCUACAGGAGCUAACUCUCUUAGCAUUCUCAUAUUUCUAUCUGUUUUUUUUCUAAGGCUAAUGUUUAGGAAAACCUCAACCAACUAUUGUGACUAUUUCUUUAAUAAAACACUUAUCUAAAUGUCCAGACUUCAAUGCAAAACUCAGAUGGUUAAAUUGCCUUGUUGACUGAAAACCAAUUGUUUAAAUGGAUUGUUAUGUUUUCUUUUUAAUUGAAAUGAAUGCUCAAUUCAUUACAACAUAUGAAUUGAGCAGUUCACAUGGUGAAAAAUAUUUUAACUUCCUGUUUUAGAAAUGCACUGUUAUUCUGAGGAUUAAAAAUAAAAUAAUGACAUGCCAAGACCAAAGCAAGUGGCUGCGUUUCAUGUAAACACGACUUGUAAACCUCCAAACUGCUGUCAUAUUAGCCAGUGAUGUAACUUUAGCGCCUGUGCGCUAACAGGAAACAGAUGAGGUGCAUUUACAAGAGAUGCUAGCUGCGUUUCCAUUACAAUUGUGAGCAAAACAUUUCCCAUAAUUCUAAUAUUUACGAAAAACAUAAUUUCGCUUUGGUGGUGUUCCCAUUGACUAAGAAAUGCAAUUAAAAUCGCACAAUGUAUGAGUUUGCUUGUGCGACAAGUCGUUGAAAACCAUAUUUAUAUUUCACCUCAUCCCAGCACAAAAGCUUUCUAUUGAUCAACGUUUCCAUUAAGCAAAUUUGUUUUCAGAAAUCUAAUUUGUGGAAUUUCAUGGUCAGUGGAAACGCAGGUACUAUCGGGCAGAAAGUGAUGUGAAAAACGUCUUCAAAAUGCAUUAGCUUAAACUGAUAGUUUGAGAUUUUCUUAAAAUGACAUCAGAUAUUCCAUUUAAUCGUUUUCACUAAUGUUCAAAGUUUUACUUAUAUUGUGUCCCUUUUAAGGAAACCUAAGAACUGAUGAUUACCUCAAUAUUUAAUAGAAUGAUCCAGUAAAAUCUUGAAAGCAAAGGCAGAUUUGAAAAUAUUGGCUUAAAUGUAUAAUGUCCAAUAUUUCUGUAAAUCUCCUUUGAUGGCCCAAAUGAAUUUUCUGAGAAGUUAAAUAAGCCAGAAAUAAAUGAAUAUUUUAGGUUGUAGUUGGAAAUGACAGGGCUGGCCUGCUGGUAAAAUUUAUGAUUUAUUACAGAAGCAUAUUGUCACACUUUAGACCUCAAAGUGUAGGAAGGAAAUGAAAAAAAAAAAAAAAAAAAAAAAUUGAUCCAAUAAAUUUUAUAAAUUAAAUUUUAAAUUACUUUUUUCUUUUAAAUAUCUGUUUUUUGAUCAUAAAAAAAAUUAUUUAAAUUAUUUAUUGACAUGUUAUUUGCCAAGCUUAGCUUUCUGAUUGGCUGCUGGAAACUAAUGCAAAAAAACAAGAAGAACAAAAUUUGAUGUGUGAUUAAUAUAAAAUGUUACAUAUUUUCUAAUAAUCCCAAGAAAAGGAUUAUGGUGGUUUAUUAUCAGGUAACAUGACUUAAUCAAUCUGAUAUUUAUAUCCUAAUACAUUACCUGACACUAAAAAAAAUCAUGGCCAGUUAAAAUAAGAACGUAUAUUGCAGAGAUAUAUUAAUGAUUCACUCAUCAAUUAUCAGCCAUUGGAGGAGACGUCAGGCGCUGGCACAACAAGCCCCGCCUACUUUGGAACGCCUAUAUAUGCAGCGUUUUAGGGAAAUUAUAGUCUUUGAUUUUAUAUAAUUUAAUAGUUUUGGAUUGACAAACUUUCUAUGAUGCUUUGAGAGCUCUGGUGGAUCCAGCUGCACACUGUCAGAAACAAACAGAAACAGGAAGUCCUUCAUCUUCUUCGUGGCUUUCACCAACAAUCGGCUGGCGAUCACAUGACUCGUAUGAUGUGAAAAAAUUUUUCCACUGCAGUUUUUUGAGCUACUUACACUUUGAUAUGGCUGAAAACCCACCUCAUCCCAUCCUAGCACCUAGCACAAAAACUUUAUCGAAAGUCGUGAGGUUUUUUUUUUUUUUCAAAAUUUGUGUUUCCUUUAAGCUAAUUUAUUUUAGUACUUUCAGUACUAAAAUAAAUUCUAUGGUAAAUGGAAAUGCAGCAAGUGGCAGAGAAGAUGAGGAAAAAAGAACAGGCCUUUAUCCAUCUCAGCAUCACCCUAUUUCCAAUUUCUACUUGUCUGCAGAAAUGAAACACAAACACAUGCAGGCAUGCUAAUAACGCAGAGUAGAGAGUACAAACCAGCCAAAACCCCAUCUUCAAACACUAACCCACACACUCACCGUCAGCACACCCACAUCAACGUAUUGGACACAUCUAGCCAUUUAACAGGAUGUCUACGGUCAGACCAGACGGUGUGAUUCUGAAGAAGCGACUGGCACCGUUAAAUAUCUAAUUCCCCUUCACGUCUAGAUGAAAAUAAGGUGCAGGGCUGAUUAGAUUGCUGCCUGCUGUGCCAGCCUUCAGGUUUGUGUUGUGUUCAUUACCAGCCCCAACCUCCAAACCCCCAGCCCCCAACCAAUCCUAUCUCCAGCCAUGCUCACCUGCCAGCUGCAAAUAGUCUCUGAUAGAAAAGCAAUUCUGACACACUUGAGAGUUACGGUCGAUGCCUGAGGAGUGAUGAUAUUAAGUCAAGUAUGAUUUAUUUAGAAAUUGCCACGCUGUCAGGCUCGAGUGGCUGUGAGAAAUUACUAAAAUUUAGAACCAAAGAGUUUUAGUAAAGGUGCUGUCAGUAGAUGCAGAAAGUGACUCAGAUAUAUUACAAUUAGGACAAAAGUUUGAGAUUUUGUCCUUUGAGGUUUUGCUUUGAAAAUUUCACAUGAAAUAUUUUCAAUCUAGAACGUUUUGUGGAUGUUUGAGACGUUUAGGUGAAAUGUGAAAAGCACUUUUUGUUGGAGACACAUUAUGAUGCGCUAUAGAUUAAAAUAAUGUUAUAUUUAGUUACAUUUUAAUCCGUGUUUCAGGAACGCGCGAUCAGUCAUGGAACGUCUGUAAACAUGUAGCACUAACAUUAGAUUAGUGCUACAUGUUUAGCCUUGAGUCACUAGUUUAGGCACCUACAUGCUAACUCCUUUUAGCAUAGCUUAAACACAACUAAAACCUUUUUCCAGCAUCCAAUCAGAUCGCUUCUUUAGAUGCAAAAAAACCCCAAACAAACAAAAAAACCCCAGUCUUUAGUGACUCUGUCCUAGUAGUCUGUUGCUUGUCCGUCAGACUUACCGGUGUACCAGAAACAUGUAUAGAAUCGUUUUAACGUGGGAAAAAAAUGCUAUUCAAAUUUUUGACAUAUAAUAAUCAAUGUAAUCAAUUAACUGAUAUUGCAGCAUUUUGUAUAGACAAAGUAACUACAUUUAAUAUUUAUUAAUGAUAAACAGUCCAGAGUUUGAUUGCAUAUUGAGUCAAAUGGACCACAGUUUGACUAAAGCGGAUUAAACAAGGCUGAUGUGACUCACCUAAUACAUUUAUUUUAAUUCAGCAUAAAGGGCAAGUCAGAAUAAGUAGAAAUACCAUGUAAAGCAAAACUGUAGGAAAAAUAUAAUAUGUUCUUUGUGACUAUUUAUCUAAAUAUUUCAAGAAAAUACAGAAUUACAAACAACAGAAUCUGACACCCAGCAGUAUGAGUAAAAGUGAAACAAGGAGGCAACUGAGUGACAGUGAGGUUAACUUUGUAGAACGUUUGGUUGAAUAGUCAUUCAUACCUUACAUCUUAUAAAUAUUACAACUGACAUUAUGUUCAUCAUUAGCUGGAUGAUUGUCACCAUCUGGAAAAAAUUAGGAGAAUGAGAAAUAUAGACAAUAGACAUAAAAGUGACACUAACUGUAGAGCAGCCCCAUAGUGUAAAUGAAAUAUUCAUUCAAAAUGUCCAGUUCGUGUCUGUUGCGGUUUUCGAACAUAUCCUGCAGCCUUCAGUUUUCGUGGGCUGAAGGUUAAAGAAGAUGCUGAGUGAGAUUGGAACUUUAUAGCAUCAACCUUUCAGGGACUUCUUGGAAAUACUGAACAACUUGCACAACCGCUCCGGGCUACGGGAACUUGUUUCACACAGCUGCUGAUCCAGGAUUUUAAACUAAGUAAACUAUGUGUAGUGUGGAUUAAGCUGUUUUUUUCUUUUUUUAAUUGUGCGAGGAAAACUUUUGCACACUGCCCAGAGGGCUGGAACAAAGGUUAAGUGUCCCACACAGCUGGUUCCAAACCACGAUCAGCUAGAAGCGAUAAAUUGAUUCUUCGCUCUUUUUCUUUCCUGCUUCACCUCACAUUUUCCUCUCACUCUUUUUUUUUUUCUCACUCAUUUUCCUCACACUUCUGCCAGAACUGGUCAAUAGUGGAGCGGUUAUCGAGCAGCGGCUAAAUGAGACUUUGAUUCCCCCUGAGGCCAGUGGUGGGGGGUUAUUCCCUGGAACCAGGGGGUCCAGUCCUUCAUCAGGGACCUCUUCACUCAUUGAUGAAGCGUGCGAUUUAAACUCCAUUUGAUUUAGCCGUGCUUAAGGACAAUACUUUUCAUUAGCAUUCAUCAAGAGCCGUCCAGCAUGGCCGCUAAUGAGCUGAUCUGCUCUCGAACGCUUCGUUCCGUCUUGGAAACAGUGACGCCACGAGGACACGGAGACAGCGCUGGCGCUUAGAGUCAACUCUCUAGGCGCUUCCCGCUUCAUCUCCAGCAAGACCAUUUCUUGUAAAUGUAGUUCUGCUGGGGCUGACAAACGAUUAACGUUAUUAAUCCGAUUGAUCACAGGGAUGCUGUGAACUAAUCACGAUAAAUUAGUUGUUAAAAAAAUUAUGAGUUAAUGAGUUCUAAAUGUUUUUAUUAGGGUUGCCAAUUGAUUAAAACAGGAUGUAACACACAGCACACGGGAUUAUUUCUCAUGCUGCUGUUGCUUUUGUAUUUAUCGUUGUUCAUCUUUUUUAUUUGUUCUUCGCAGCAUGUGUGUUACUUCACUCACGAAUGUAAAAUGAUGCAUUCAGUUGUUGUUAGUAACAACAACUGUCCACAAUCAUUGAGGUUCUGCCUGUUGCGCAAUACGAUCCUGUCCGCCCUCAAACUACUACCACAUAUCACAGUGAACACACCAACCCUAUGUAGAAGCAUAGUGGUGGUAGAGUAAUGCUGAGGGGAUGAUUCCCCACGUAACGUCCAGCAAGAACAGGGAACAUGACAAACCGGGCAGAAAGAUGGAUGGAACUAAAGAUGUGACAAUCUUUAAAUGACAAACAAUAGUGGUUCAAAUGAAUGGGUUGACCUUCACCAGUGCUCACCGUCUUCUGCUGGUCUAUCACGUUAAAGUCCCAGAGAAACACCACAAAGUUUGCAAAGCAUUUUCCUCAUUUAGGAUAUCUCUUGGACCAACAGAGUUUUUUUUCUUUUUGCUCGCAGAGCCAUCAAGAACAAACGCUGAAUGUUUGUUCUCUUGUCUGGCCUUGAAAACCGUCUCCCUGUGAGCUUUCACAUUUACUCUGAAAAGAUUCUUUCACAGUUUUUUUCACUCCAGUUUUGUACACACAUCCAAAAACACACACUAUAGUUAAAAGUGUUGCGCUCUCUCCCGUUUGUGGAGUUCUUAUUUUAUUCAUAUCUCAGGGCCUUUUGCUGUGGGAAACAAGCAAAGCUGAGAUGGAACAAGCAAGAAAAAACAAAAAAAAACAAGAAGGGACCUUUUGACAGAGCAACGUUGAUGAACAGCCCCGACAUAGCGAGAUACAUAAACAUGAGGUCAGAGAAGAUCGCUGAGGGAGAUGGAGGAGGAGGAGAAGCGAGCGAGCAAGGGGAGAAAAUGUGAGAGAGAGAGGAAGAAAGAGAGAGAGAGAGUUACGAAGAACAGCGAAGAGGCAGAAAUAGAGCUUUAGAAAACACUCUGUCGCUGACAAGCUCACACUUUACUCACGAAACACACCAAUCAGUCCUUUGGGACAGAUCAACCUGUGUGGUGCCGUGUGUGUUUGUGUGUGUGUGUUUGUGGUGGAACACACACACACAAAUAAUGGGAAACACCGCCUGGCGCGGCAGAGAGCAUCUUUGAAAUGCAGAACGCAUCGAGAGUCCUGGAGAGCUCCGCUUUGCAGCAAAGCCUCAUUACAGAGACAGCAGCCUUAAAGCUGGACGAUACACACACACACACACACACACACACACACCCACACACACACACACACACACACACAACUGAAUGUACACCCACUCCUAAACACACGCAGAAACAUGCUAAUGCGGCCUUCUGCAUUUUUUGCAAAUCAAAUUGAAAUCUCAGCAGAGCAGAAAUGUUGUGAAAGUUCUCCUUCCUCUAAUCCUCUCUGCCGUUUUCGAUCCUUGUUCUCCAUACAAAUAAAGUUUCAUUUACUCCCCCCACCCCCCACUCCCUCCACCUCGCCACUAAUAUUGUAUUCAUGUAUAUUUGAUUGUGUAAACUCUGUGGAGAUUGGCGGCGCUGUAUCUGCUGUGCCUUUUUAAAAAUGCAUCUAUGAAUAAAUAAUGUCUCUCUCCGUUGAUUGAAAAAGCCAUAUUGCCAGAAAGCCAUGAUGAAACGAUAAUGUAAUAUCUGUCCUCAUCCUGAUUAAAGCCAAGCAUUCUCCUUCUCUUUUUUUUUUCUUUCUUUGCAGCCCACUUCUCCUUCUCUUUCUGUUUUUUUCUUCUUUCAAUUCUGUGGCUUAAUGAAUCCUAAAGCUCUGCCGCCUGAUGACGCCGCGCUUCCGUGUGUGUUUUAAUAAAGAGAAGGCCUCUUUCUA